AGCUCCAAUAGCGUAUAUUAAAGUUGUUGCAGUUAAAAAGCUCGUAGUUGGAUUUCUGGCAGGAUGACUUCGCCCUCAGUAGAGUGUGCGGAGCCGUCUUACCAUCCUUCUGUUAACCCUUGAGUCCUUCACGGUCUCCUGGGGGCUCAGAUAUUUUACCUUGAGAAAAUUAGAGUGUUUCAGGCAGGCUAGCGCCGGAAUACAUUAGCAUGGAAUAAUGGAAUAGGACUUUUGCCUCUUCUGUUGGUCUGAGGGGUUCGAGUAAUGAUUAAUAGGGAUAGUUGGGGGCAUUAGUACUUCACUGUCAGAGGUGAAAUUCUCGGAUUUGUGAAAGACUAACUUAUGCGAAAGCAUUUGCCAAGGAUGUUUUCA
rnacentral:rRNA from 1 species